rnacentral:rRNA from 1 species
GAUGAACGCUGGCGGCGUGCUUAACACAUGCAAGUCGAGCGAUGAAGUUUCCUUCGGGAAACGGAUUAGCGGCGGACGGGUGAGUAACACGUGGGUAGCCUGCCUCAUAGAGUGGAAUAGCCUUCCGAAAGGAAGAUUAAUACCGCAUAAUGUUGAAGGAUGGCAUCAUCGUUCAAUCAAAGGAGCAAUCCGCUAUGAGAUGGACUCGCGGCGCAUUAGCUAGUUGGUGGGGUAACGGCCUACCAAGGCGACGAUGCAUAGCCGACCUGAGAGGGCGAACGGCCACAUUGGGACUGAGACACGGCCCAA